UGGGGAUAAUCCCCCAUAGGUGUAGACUUCUGGAAUGGGUCUACGCCGAAAGGGCUACGGCACCAUCCCUGCCGUAGCCGCCCGAGGAUGGGGCUGCGGCCUAUCAGGUAGUUGGCGGGGUAACGGCCCGCCAAGCCUAUAACGGGUAGGGGCCGUGAGAGCGGGAGCCCCGAGAUGGGCACUGAGACAAGGGCCCAGGCCCUACGGGGUGCACCAGGGGCGAAACUUCCGCAAUGCGGGAAACCGUGACGGAGUCACCCCGAGUGCCACCCGAUGAGGGUGGCUUUUGCCCGGUCUAAAAAGCCGGGCGAAUAAGCGGGGGGCAAGCUUGGUGUCAGCCGCCGCGGUAAUACCAACCCCGCGAGUGGUCGGGACGUUUAUUGGGCCUAAAGCGUCCGUAGCCGGCCCGGUAAGUCCCUCCUUAAAGCCCACGGCUCAACCGUGGGAGCGGAGGGAUACUGCCGGGCUAGGGGGCGGGAGAGGCCGGGGGUACUCCUGGGGUAGGGGCGAAAUCCUAUAAUCCCAGGAGGACCACCAGUGGCGAAGGCGCCCGGCUAGCACGCGCCCGACGGUGAGGGACGAAAGCUGGGGGAGCAAAGGGGAUUAGAUACCCCCGUAGUCCCAGCUGUAAACGAUGCAGGCUAGGUGUUAGGCGGGCUUCGUGCCCGCCUAGUGCCGUAGGGAAGCCGUUAAGCCUGCCGCCUGGGGAGUACGGCCGCAAGGCUGAAACUUAAAGGAAUUGGCGGGGGAGCACCACAAGGGGUGAAGCUUGCGGUUUAUUG
rnacentral:rRNA from 1 species